AAGUUCUGUGAAUCCUUAGAUAUCUUUCUGCUUUCCUUAGUAGACAAGCCAGCUUAAGGCAAAGACUGUACAAAUUCCUUAAGUUGCCUAGAAUGACUGAAUUCUCAGAACUGUGUGUGCACAUUCCUCCUGUUUUUUUCCCCCAAGCAUUUCUAGAUACAGAAGAAGUGAAAGAACUAGAGCCUCCACCUUAAAGGCAGUAUAAGUAAUUAGAAUAGAGACUAGGGCAGAGGAAAGAGCUUUUCUAACUGAAUUUUCACAAUAACCCUGUGAGGUCAGCGUCAUUGCUAUCAUCUCACUUAUGAGGAAUCAGAGACUCAGGGUAAAUUACUUUCUUGAGAUUGUGCAGUGGGUUUGGAUUCUAACCCAGGUCUCUGACUACAAGACCAUGUUGGUACAUUUCACUAUGCAACUUCUUACAGAGGCCCUUGUGUGAGAGACAAGUGUGAAUACAAGUGUGCCGCCAAUUAACUGAUGAUUAGCUUCGUACAAACCUGUCUGUGCUGCUUAGUCUCCAUUUUUCUCUCCAGUCCCCUUCUCCACCGUCCUCUGCAUAUCUGGGGAGACUGACCUACUGCCUGGCCUCUGGCCUCCAGUUGGGACUGUAGAAUCGCCUCCAAGAGACUGGAGUAUGGAAGAGAAGGAGGUUGAGAUAUAUUUGUUCACCCCUCACCCCGUGGUUUGGCAGUCGCUCUUUCUCAACUUUAAAGCCACAGCUCGGGUGCCCACUAUGUGCCUCUCAUUCGUUCCUAGUCAGAGUCCUGUUUCUUUACCUCGGUGGAGGGGACAGGGCCUGGAGGAAGAUGAUGCCCCAGUCCUGGCAGAGCUCCUGUGUCUGCUUUGUGGGAAUUUAGAGACAGCCUGUUAGUUUCCAUGUGGGAAAGUAGAUUUAACCCGAGUCUAAUUUUCUUCGUCUGUAAAAUGGUGGCAGGAACACGCACCUGCUGGUUACAUGAGUACACGUGAAGGCCACAUCGCAGAGGCUGCCCCAGGAGAGGAGUUCACAGAUG